GUUUUCUUGUAACAAUACAUGCAAUAAUUUGGACAUUCUACUUUCUCGAAUGGAUUUGUUGUGGUAAUCUGAAUGUAUAAUGUUCCACAGACAUUCGUAUUUGUCAUAUAUAUCGAGGAAUUCUAGAAUAUCUUCCAAAUUCCAUUUCGAAGACAUCUUAAUCUCACACGUGGGACUAGCCGCUGACGGGUUUGUCUCUGUUUACACAGAGGCAGUAGAAGCAGGAAGUAGGUCACGUGACCGGCAAGUGGACAUUAAAGUAGCCAGGAUUUCAACUUUACUUGCCACUAUCCCGGCAAGUGACAUGUUCGCUAGCGGGGUUGUUUACAUUGGGC
rnacentral:lncRNA from 1 species